UGUAAGCGUAUACCAAAGUUGUUGCAGUUAAAACGCUCGUAGUCGGAAUUUGGCAGUUCCGGAUGUGUGCACGUCGUGUGCGCGCUUUGCGGGAAUUGCUUUUGUGUGUUCGCGUAGGAUGAGGCACUUUUAUUAGUGAACGUCCUCACGCAACCACUUUUUACUGUGAGAAAAUCAGAGUGCUCAAAGCAGGCAUUUGCCGUGAAUGUAUUAGCAUGGAAUAAUAGAAUAGGACUUGGUUCUAUUUUGUUGGUUUGUUGGGACUGAGUAAUGAUUAAGAGGGACAGUUGGGGGCAUUUGUAUUUCGGUGCUAGAGGUGAAAUUCUUAGAUUACCGAAAGACAAACUGCUGCGAAAGCGUCUGCCAAGGAUGUUUUCAUUGA
rnacentral:rRNA from 1 species